rnacentral:rRNA from 1 species
CAUGCAAGUCGAACGGUGAAGCCCAGCUUGCUGGGUGGAUCAGUGGCGAACGGGUGAGUAACACGUGAGCAAUCUGCCCCUGACUCUGGGAUAAGCGCUGGAAACGGCGUCUAAUACUGGAUAUGAACCGUGGAGGCAUCUUCAACGGUUGGAAAGAUUUUUUGGUCAGGGAUGAGCUCGCGGCCUAUCAGCUUGUUGGUGAGGUAAUGGCUCACCAAGGCGUCGACGGGUAGCCGGCCUGAGAGGGUGACCGGCCACACUGGGACUGAGACACGGCCCAGACUCCUACGGGAGGCAGCAGUGGGGAAUAUUGCACAAUGGGCGCAAGCCUGAUGCAGCAACGCCGCGUGAGGGAUGACGGCCUUCGGGUUGUAAACCUCUUUUAGCAGGGAAGAAGCGAAAGUGACGGUACCUGCAGAAAAAGCGCCGGCUAACUACGUGCCAGCAGCCGCGGUAAUACGUAGGGCGCAAGCGUUAUCCGGAAUUAUUGGGCGUAAAGAGCUCGUAGGCGGUUUGUCGCGUCUGCUGUGAAAUCCCGAGGCUCAACCUCGGGUCUGCAGUGGGUACGGGCAGACUAGAGUGCGGUAGGGGAGAUUGGAAUUCCUGGUGUAGCGGUGGAAUGCGCAGAUAUCAGGAGGAACACCGAUGGCGAAGGCAGAUCUCUGGGCCGUAACUGACGCUGAGGAGCGAAAGGGUGGGGAGCAAACAGGCUUAGAUACCCUGGUAGUCCACCCCGUAAACGUUGGGAACUAGUUGUGGGGUCCAUUCCACGGAUUCCGUGACGCACCUAACGCAUUAAGUUCCCCGCCUGGGGAGUACGGCSGCAAGGCUAAAACUCAAAGGAAUUGACGGGGACCC